rnacentral:rRNA from 1 species
GUCGAGGAUCUUCCGCAAUGCGCGAAAGCGUGACGGAGCGACGCCGCGUGGGUGAUGAAGGCCUUCGGGUUGUAAAGCCCUGUCACCUGGGAAGAAUGGCGGGAGGUUAAUAGCCAUCUCGUCUGACGCUACCAGGGGAGGAAGCACCGGCUAAAUACGUGCCAGCAGCCGCGGUAAUACGUAUGGUGCGAACGUUGUUCGGAAUCACUGGGCAUAAAGAGCACGUAGGCGGUUGAGCAAGUCCAUUGUGAAAUCCCCCGGCUUAACCGGGGAAUUGCAGUGGUUACUACUUGACUUGAGUACAGGAGGGGAGAGUGGAAUUCCAGGUGGAGCGGUGAAAUGCGUAGAUAUCUGGAGGAACGCCGGUGGCGAAAGCGACUCUCUGGUCUGUUACUGACGCUGAGGUGCGAAAGCUAGGGGAGCAAACGGGAUUAGAAACCCGUGUAGUCC